rnacentral:lncRNA from 1 species
AUAUAUUCUAGAAAUAGGGAGUCUGUAACUGAAUCCAAGUCUAUCGCUAGGAACGUAAAACGCACGGCAAUCCCCUGCGUAGUCCUGGCGUCAUGUACCUGUGUUUUGCUAUAUAUAACAGGCAACCGUGGUGAGCCAAGAUAUGUAGCCACGUUCUCAUCCAGUUUUACAUGGUAAUCAGAGCCUCUCUUCCACAAAACAUCCAAUCGCCGACUUCCUAGAAGAUCGACGAGAGCCCUAUCGCGACCAGGGACAGAAGCACGCGUCCUGAACCUGUUUCGACCAGGGCCGCGACGCAACAACGCUCAUGGCUUCAUCAAGCAUGACGACGUCCUCAUCUCUCGGUACUGUCUCCGAGAAGCUGACGAGGGAUAACUUUCUCCUUUGGAAGGCGCAGUUUCUUCCCAGCGUUAGAGGAGCAGAGCUCAUGGGGUUCCUAGACGG